rnacentral:rRNA from 1 species
GCGUGCAGGAUGAAGGUCUUCGGAUUGUAAACUGCUUUUGUCAGGGACGAAAAGGUUUCGGUUAAUACCCGAAACUGCUGACGGUACCUGAAGAAUAAGCACCGGCUAACUACGUGCCAGCAGCCGCGGUAAUACGUAGGGUGCAAGCGUUAAUCGGAAUUACUGGGCGUAAAGCGUGCGCAGGCGGUUCCGUAAGAUAGAUGUGAAAUCCCCGGGCUUAACCUGGGAAUUGCAUUUAUGACUGCGGAACUGGAGUUUAUCAGAGGGGGGUGGAAUUCCAAGUGUAGCAGUGAAAUGCGU